UAGGGAAUCUUCGGCAAUGGACGAAAGUCUGACCGAGCAACGCCGCGUGAGUGAAGAAGGUUUUCGGAUCGUAAAACUCUGUUGGUAGAGAAGAACGUUGGUGAGAGUGGAAAGCUCAUCAAGUGACGGUAACUACCCAGAAAGGGACGGCUAACUACGUGCCAAG
rnacentral:rRNA from 1 species